rnacentral:rRNA from 1 species
GAUGAACGCUGGCGGCGUGCCUAAUACAUGCAAGUCGAGCGAACGGACGAGAAGCUUGCUUCUCUGAUGUUAGCGGCGGACGGGUGAGUAACACGUGGAUAACCUACCUAUAAGACUGGGAUAACUUCGGGAAACCGGAGCUAAUACCGGAUAAUAUUUUGAACCGCAUGGUUCAAAAGUAAAAGACUGUCUUGCUGUCACUUAUAGAUGGAUCCGCGCUGCAUUAGCUAGUUGGUAAGGUAACGGCUUACCAAGGCAACGAUGCAUAGCCGACCUGAGAGGGUGAUCGGCCACACUGGAACUGAGACACGGUCCAGACUCCUACGGGAGGCAGCAGUAGGGAAUCUUCCGCAAUGGGCGAAAGCCUGACGGAGCAACGCCGCGUGAGUGAUGAAGGUCUUCGGAUCGUAAAACUCUGUUAUUAGGGAAGAACAUAUGUGUAAGUAACUGUGCACAUCUUGACGGUACCUAAUCAGAAAGCCACGGCUAACUACGUG